GUAAAGUCUUUGGAAAAUCAUAACUGGGAAGGUCCUUUUGGGUUAAUAACUUGGGGAAGAGGCUAUGCUUGCGUCUCCAAAGAACAAGGAUCCUGAUGGAUCCUCGUGUGAUGUACCCAUCUGUUUAUACAUGUGACGGCUGCCAAUGAAGGUAGAUGCCAAUUCAUCGCUGGUUUGAAGUUAACCUGUGGGAACUGUACAAAAUUAACCAGUCUCCUUUUGGAGAAACAGUCAACAGAGAGCAUACCCACGUGGGAGUGUGUCACAACUGGACUUUCUUGCCACUAGUAAUAGACUGGGAACAUUUAAGCAGGUAAAGGGUACCACCAGACAAUAGAGUUGCUUUCAGACAUUGAUUGUAUGAGGCAUGCCUCACUACAGAACAGAAUGGCUGUUGAUUUUUAUUGUUAGCUCAAGACCAUGGGUGUGAAGAUUUUGAUGGUAUGUGCUGCACGAAUUUAUCAGAUCAUCCAUAAUAGCAUUCCGGACUUAAUAACAAGGAGAGCACACCUUCAGGAAGAUGAGGGACUGAAUUGGUUGAACAAAGUGUUUUCUGGCUUGAACAUUACAGGACGACUUUACUUUAUCGUAAUAAUUUUGUUAGUCUUUUUAGGUAUUCUAAUCUGUGUGCCUUGUUUGCUACUAUAGUUAAUGGAGAAUAUAGGAACUUUGGCAAAAGUCAAUCAUAAAUCUAUAAAAGCUGCCUUUUAGUAAAACAAAAAGUGGGAGAUGUGGGUGACAGGAUAUAAAUAGUUAAUGAAAUGGAUUCAGGCGUUAUUGCCCUGGUCUGGUUUACUCCCUGGGAAGGGUAAAGAAAACACCAGGUGCUAUUGCCCUGGUGGGGCUUAAGCCCUGGGAAAGGUGAUGAAAACACCAGUUGUUAAUGCCCUGCUGGGGCCUAAGCUUUGGAAAAUGUAAAGAGAGCAAUGAAGGGUAAAGAUCGGUUAGCAAAACAGCAGGCAGUUUGUAAGAUAAAGGAGGAUGUGCAUCUCAAAGACAGACCAAACAGUGUGAAUGUUUGUAACCCUUAGUAGUUUUGCUAAAUGAAGAUGAUAAGGAAGCAAGAGAGUGGAAAGUUACUGCUUAGCACUUAGAGGUCUGUAAAAGGGAUGAGA